rnacentral:rRNA from 1 species
CGGCCGCAAGGUUAAAACUCAAAUGAAUUGACGGGGGCCCGCACAAGCGGUGGAGCAUGUGGUUUAAUUCGAUGCAACGCGAAGAACCUUACCUGGUCUUGACAUCCACAGAACUUUCCAGAGAUGGAUUGGUGCCUUCGGGAACUGUGAGACAGGUGCUGCAUGGCUGUCGUCAGCUCGUGUUGUGAAAUGUUGGGUUAAGUCCCGCAACGAGCGCAACCCUUAUCCUUUGUUGCCAGCGGUCCGGCCGGGAACUCAAAGGAGACUGCCAGUGAUAAACUGGAGGAAGGUGGGGAUGACGUCAAGUCAUCAUGGCCCUUACGACCAGGGCUACACACGUGCUACAAUGGCGCAUACAAAGAGAAGCGACCUCGCGAGAGCAAGCGGACCUCAUAAAGUGCGUCGUAGUCCGGAUUGGAGUCUGCAACUCGACUCCAUGAAGUCGGAAUCGCUAGUAAUCGUGGAUCAGAAUGCCACGGUGAAUACGUUCCCGGGCCUUGUACACACCGCCCGUCACACCAUGGGAGUGGGUUGCAAAAGAAGUAGGUAGCUUAACCUUCGGGAGGGCGCUUACCACUUUGUGAUUCAUGACUGGGGUGAAGUCGUAACAAGGUAACCGUAGGGGAACCUGC